GUCACCUAUCCAUGGCAAGGCAAAUCCCAGCGGUCCGAUGCUCCGCAUGAUCAAGGAGAUGAAGAAAUUAGCUAUGAUCUUCUUCCCGCUCUCCCCCAGCCUUGUUUUCCUGAAAAUUUAAAUCUUCCCCAAAUCCUCUCGGCCCUCCUUCCAUCUAUAAGUACAAGCCCCAUGACCACAUGCCGCGUGUCGGCUUCGCGUGACUUGUGACUUUGGACUUUGGCGAGGAGAGGAGAGGAGAGGAGACGAGCCUGCCAUGCUUCAUCUCGGCGGCGCCGCCGCCCAUGGCGUGGCAUGGGGAAUGAGCUUGCUGCCGCUCUAGACUGGGCCUCCGUGGUGAAGACGGCUGCAUACAUAGGGAGGAGGCUGUUUGGAGCCGCCGGCCGUUCGUCCUAGAGAAAUAAUACACGGCCGCUCGAGCCAAGCGUGGUAAGGGGCAACCUCUCAAUGCUAGCGCGGUAGGCGCAGAGCAGCUCGACCGGUUCUUGGACGACGACUUCCUCCUCUUCCUCGCCGACCGUUGAGGCGCAGCAGCUGGACCUGGAGGUGGUGGCGGCGGAGGCGGAGGUUCAACUAAUUUGACAACUUUAAACUAAUUUGACGACGCCAAAUCCAGAACGGUUGAACUUGUUGUGUAUUUAUACUAGACUUUUUUAUUUAUAAUAACUAGACUUGUCUGGAGGGCCAGGGGUAAAAACUUCUCAUAAAAAAUAAACCAUCAUUUCACGUAAUGUAUGUUGUUUUUAUUCACACAUUUUUCGAUACACUAUCUCACAAUAAUAUUUUAAACAGAACUAGCCGAAAAUUGUGUACCCAUGAUCAUGUAUGCAUAUUUGCCAAAACUAUACAUACAUUUUGUUACCUGCUUAGAUACAUUUUGCCAAACCUAUAGGAAAACAAUAAAUAAAACAUUCUUAAGCAAAUAAAUUCAUGACUACUAUAGUAUUCUAGUGCAUUUAUAUGUUUAUUUGUCCAUACCUUCUUAAGUAUCUACACAGCUUCAUAAAUAAAACAAGUAGUCACUUAGAGGAUUCUAGAGUAGAGUAUGAGCCAGUUAAGUUAAGGUAAGACUUAAUGGUGAUUAAACGAGUAAAUUCAGUUUUAAACACAGUCUCUAGAAAAUCAGUUUUGAACCAAUAUAAAGGUAGGGUGGAUCGGGCCCUAAUUUUCCAAGCCAUGAAAUAGACAAGAAAAGAUCGAAUUUUGCAGAUAACACACAAUUUUAGGAUUUUGCAUGAAUAAUACACCACCGCUCGAGCCUAGUGUGGUACGGGGCAACCUCUCAGUGCUAGCGCAGUAGGUGCAGAACAGCUUGAUGCUGCUUCGGUUAGCGCCUAGGCGUCCGACCCUGCACAACGGCAGGCCGAGUAAAGGACUUACCUCUCGAAGCUAGAGACAUAAGCUCCUGCCACUUUGGGCCAACGCAGUAAGCCCCUCUCCUUCCCGUCACUUCUUUCCCGCUAUUUCUCCUCAGCCAGUCCUAUAAAAACCCUCAUCGAUUCUUCGUGAUUUAUUAUUGUGUUAGUUGUCUAGCUUGGUAGGGGCUAUGAGUUUGCCUUGCUCGGAUCAUGCUGAUAAGCCGACAAAGAUGAAGGGUGCAAGGUUGCCCCGGGAGGGUGGAACUACGUGGUGUUGGUGUGGAAAUCAUGCCAAGAUGAUGGUGGUGAUGGAUUUUCAUCUGGGCAUGAAGCUUUUCAUGGGUGCCAACUGCCAACUAAGUAUGAUCCACCAUGUUCCAAUUUCGUCGUAUCAAAAGCCUGCAAUAUGUUUUUACUUGGAUGAUUAGUAAUCCGGGCUCUGUCAGAUCCACGAGCACACCUAAACUGACGGAUCCUAUAGUGAUGCAAGGUGGGUGAUGAUGAUGAAGAAGCAAGAACAUGAUCGAGCUCGAGAAGUAAUGAGUUGCGGUGAAUAAAAGGAAGGUGGACUUCUCAUGAUCUUGAUUGUCGGCACGUUGAACAUGGACCCGAAGGCGAAGACGUGGUAUAUGGAGGAGCAGGCCGCCAUCUUGCAAUAAAGGAGGGCAUCGACGACACCGGAAUGAUGGAAGGGUCAUCUUUCGUGGAAGAGCGGACGCCAACAGCGGAGGAUCCAUCUUCCAUUUGAUUUCCAUUCUAUUCAUGCGGUGUUGUAAUAUGUGUGACUGGACCUUGUGGCGUUUUGGCUGCCAGUACUUCAAAUUAUGGCCGACACUGUGUGUUUUCAUUUUUGUAAUUUUCUAAUUGCAAAAAAUUAAGUCAAAAAUCUAUUAGGGAUGCCGUCUUGGGGGCGUGGCUGAGGAGAGGACCGCAAACGCGGUAGGCGUUGUCGGCGC